rnacentral:rRNA from 14 species
CUACGGGAGGCAGCAGUGGGGAAUUUUCCGCAAUGGACGAAAGUCUGACGGAGCGACGCUGCGUGAAGGAUGAAGGCCCGUGGGUUGUAAACUUCUUUUCUCGAAGAAGAAAAAAAUGACGGUAUUCGAGGAAUAAGCAUCGGCUAACUCUGUGCCAGCAGCCGCGGUAAGACAGAGGAUGCAAGUGUUAUUCGGAAUGAUUGGGCGUAAAGAGUCUGUAGGCGGUUUAGAAAGUCUUUUGUGAAAUACUUCAGCUCAACUGAGGCUCCGCAAAAGAAACUUCUAGACUUGAGGAAAGUAGAGGUACAGGGAAUUUCCGGUGGAGCGGUGAAAUGCGUAGAUAUCGGAAGGAACACCAAUAUGGCGAAGGCACUGUACUGGGCUUUUCCUGACGCUCAGAGACGAAAGCUGAAGGAGUGAUUAGGAUUAGAUACCCUAGUAAUUUCAGCCGUAAACGAUGAAAACUCACUGUCGAGCCAAUAUAUGGAGCGGUGGUCAAGCUAACGCGUGAAGUUUUCCGCCUGGGGAUUACGCUUGCAAAAGUGAAACUCAAAGGAAUUGACGGGGACCCGCACAAGCGGUGGAGUAUGUGGUUUAAUUCGACAACGCGAAAAACCUUACCAGGGUUUGAAAUAAUUUCAAAACUUCUUGAAAGAGAAGCCUCCUUCGGGAUGGAAUUACAGGUGGUGCAUGGCUGUCGUCAGCUCGUGUUGUGAAAUGUCAAGUUAAGUCUUGUAACGAGCGCAACCCAUGUCUCUUGUUGCUGUUUACAGUGCUUAAGAGAAACUGCCGAUCAACAUCGGAGGAAGGUGUGGAUGAUGUCAAGUCAGCAUGCCCCUUACAUCCUGGGCUACACACGUACUACAAUGGUCGAGACAAAGGGUCGCUAACCUGCGAAGGUAUGCCAAUCUCAUAAACUCGAUCUCAGUUCGGAUUGUACUCUGCAACUCGAGUACAUGAAGGUGGAAUCGCUAGUAAUCGCUGGUCAGCAUACAGCGGUGAAUACGUUCCCGGGUCUUGUACACACUGCCCGUCACACCAUGGAAGUCGACCCUUCCCUAAGUCGUUACUCGAACCUGUAAAGGACGAGGACGCCGAAGGCAGAGUUGGUGACUAGGGUGAAGUCGGAACAAGGUAGCCGUACUGGAAGG